CACGUAGGGACCAAGCGUUGUCCGGAUUUAUUGGGCGUAAAGCGCUCGUAGGCGGUUCGGUAAGUCGGGUGUGAAACCUCCAGGCUCAACCUGGUGACGCCACCCGAUACUGCCGUGACUUGAGUUCGGUAGGGGAGCGGGGAAUUCCUGGUGUAGCGGUGAAAUGCGCAGAUAUCAGGAGGAACACCGGUGGCGAAGGCGCCGCUCUGGGCCGAAACUGACGCUGAGGAGCGAAAGCGUGGGGAGCGAA
rnacentral:rRNA from 1 species